AGUUCUAUACUUUAAUUAAAAGACUUGAUUUGCAAUCAGCCAUUAAGUAAUAACCUACUUUAGAACUA
rnacentral:tRNA from 1 species